rnacentral:rRNA from 1 species
CUGCCCCCAGGAGGGGGAUAACGGUUGGAAACGACCGCUAAUACCCCAUAUGCCGAUAGGUGAAAUGAAUUUCGCCUGAGGAUGAGCCCGCGUCUGAUUAGCUAGUUGGUAAGGUAAAGGCUUACCAAGGCUUCGAUCAGUAGCUGGUCUGAGAGGAUGAUCAGCCACACUGGGACUGAGACACGGCCCAGACUCCUACGGGAGGCAGCAGUGGGGAAUUUUCCGCAAUGGGCGAAAGCCUGACGGAGCAACGCCGCGUGAGGGACGAAGGCCUCUGGGCUGUAAACCUCUUUUCUCAAGGAAGAAGAUAUGACGGUACUUGAGGAAUAAGCCACGGCUAAUUCCGUGCCAGCAGCCGCGGUAAUACGGGAGUGGCAAGCGUUAUCCGGAAUUAUUGGGCGUAAAGCGUCCGCAGGCGGCCUUUCAAGUCUGCUGUUAAAGCGUGGAGCUUAACUCCAUUAUGGCGGUGGAAACUGAUAGGCUUGAGUAUGGUAGGGGCAGAGGGAAUUCCCGGUGUAGCGGUGAAGUGCGUAGAUAUCGGGAAGAACACCAGUGGCGAAGGCGCUCUGCUGGGCCAUUACUGACGCUCAUGGACGAAAGCCAGGGGAGCGAAAGGGAUUAGAUACCCCUGUAGUCCUGGGCCGUAAACGAUGAACACUAGGUGUCGG